rnacentral:lncRNA from 1 species
UCCAGCUGAAAUGCAAUGACAGACAUAACAGCAAACAGAUUUGCAGGGCUGUGAAGAAAGAUUUUGAACUUCAUGGAAGCUAGUGAUGAAAUCUUCAUUCAGUGCUUGCUACAGUAUAUAUGCAACUUUGCUGCCACAGGAAGAUGUUCUCUGCAGGGAAAAAUCUACAGUAUUCCUGGCACACUGGUGUUCAAUUCUCUCUCUGCUGUGUCUGGAUGAAUCUUGUAAUAGUAAAAAGAUUGAUGUUUCAGGAAUAUGCUUUCAGGAUUUGAGAUCUCAUUGGCUGAGUCUGCAGUGUUCAUUUAAACAUCCAAGAAAAAGCCUGUUGAUUUGA